rnacentral:rRNA from 1 species
AUGGACGGCCCCGGCAGCGGCCACCAGAUGGACAGCUACUUCUCCCGCGGCCCCAAGAUCCGGUCCCGGUCCAUCCGCAUGGCGGCUGCCGGCAUGAUGAGCCAGUCGGAGCGGCUCAAGAACAUCGGCCGUGUGUUCCAGGAGGACCUUAAGAGCAUCUCCCUCAAGAUCUACGACCCGCAGGACCCGUUCCUGACGCGCAUGAACCGCCUCUUCGUCUUCUCCUGCAUCAUCUCCGUCGCCACCGACCCGCUCUUCUUCUACCUCCCUUCCGUCAACGUGACCCAGAGCAACACAUGCAUCGGCUUCAAACGUGAGCUGGCCGUCGCUACCACCGCUGUGCGCACCGCCAUCGACUUCUUCUACCUGGCGCGGAUCGUGCUGCAGUUCCACACCGCCUUCAUCGCGCCGUCGUCGCGGGUGUUCGGCCGCGGGGAGCUCGUCGUCGACCAUGGUGACAUAGCGCGCCGCUACCUCCGCCGUUUCUUCGUUGUCGACCUCCUCUCUGUGCUCCCCCUGCCACAAAUCCAGAUGGUCAAGUUCUUCAUGAGGCCCAAGAACGCGGACCUGCUUCCCAUCAAGACGGCGCUCUUCUUCAACGUGCUCACCCAGUACUUGCCCCGCCUCCUCCGCUUCUACCCUAUCACCGCCGAGCUCAGGCGAACCACCGGCGUCUUCGCAGAGACCGCCUUCGCCGGCGCCGCCUUCUACCUGCUCCUCUACAUGCUAUGCUCCCACAUGGUGGGUUCCUUCUGGUACCUCCUCGCCGUCGAGCGCCUCGACGACUGCUGGCGCGAGAAGUGCGCGGGGCUCAAGUUCCACCAGUGCAGGAUAUACAUGUACUGCGGGGGGAAACAAGAGGGCGAUGAGGACGACUUCAUGAAGUGGCGGACCAUGAUCCGGCAGGUGCUCGCGCAGGAGUGCGCGCCCGUGGACAACAACGGCACGGGCUUCAGCUACGGCAUCUACACCUCGGCCAUCACCUCGGGGGUCACCCACACCAACGACCUCGUCCCCAAGAUUCUCUACUGCCUGUGGUGGGGUCUCCAGAACCUCAGCAGCGGCGCCCAGGGGCUGGAGACCACGCACUACAAGGGGGAGGCCCUUUUCGCCAUCAUCCUCGCCGUCUUCGGCCUCAUCCUCAUGGCGCUGCUCAUCGGCAACAUGCAGACCUACCUCCAGUCCAUGACGCUGCGUAUGGAGGAGAUGCGGCUCAAGCGGCGGGACUCGGAGCAGUGGAUGCGCCACCGCGACCUCCCCGAUGACCUCCGGGAGCGCGUGUGGCGACACAACCAGUACAAGUGGCUGGAGACGCGGGGCGUGGACGAGGACGGCCUCGUGAGCUGCCUCCCCAAGGACAUCAGGCGAGACGUCAAGCGCCACCUCUGCCUCCGCCUCGUCCGCCGCGUGCCGCUGUUUGCCAACAUGGACGAGCGCCUCCUCGACGCCAUCUGCGAGAGGCUCAAGCCCAGCCUGUGCACGGAGACCACCUACGUGGUGCGGGAAGGGGAGCCCGUCGACGAGAUGCUAUUCAUCAUCAGAGGCCGCCUGGAGAGCUCCACCACCGACGGGGGCCGCACGGGGUUCUUCAACAAGGGGCUCCUCAAGGAAGGGGACUUCUGCGGCGAGGAGCUGCUCACAUGGGCGCUGGACCCAAAGGCUGCGGCGAACCUGCCGCUGUCCACUCGCAGCGUCAAGGCGCUCUCCGAGGUGGAGGGCUUCGCGUUGCACGCCGACGAGCUUAAGUUCGUCGCGGGGCAGUUCCGGCGCCUGCACAGCAAGCAGCUGCAGCAGACCUUCAGGUUCUACUCGCAGCAGUGGCGCACCUGGGCGUCGUGCUUCAUCCAGGCCGCGUGGAGGAGGUACCAGAAGCGGAAGGCGGCGGAGCAUCGGAGGCGGGAGGAGGAAGAGAUGUACGCCGCCGAGAUGGCGUCUGCGUCGUCGUCGAGCCAGAUCACGACAGCGUUCCUCGUGUCGAGGUUCGCCAAGAAUGCCAUGCGCGGCGUGCAACGCCAGCGGUCGCUCCAGGAGGAGAGGCUCAUUCUGCUGGCCAAGCCAUCAGACUAG